AGUCUGGUGCCAGCACCCGCGGUAAUUCCAGCUCCACUAGCGUAUAUUAAAGUUGUUGCAGUUAAAAGCUCGUAGUUGAACCUCUGUCUGGGGCUAGUUUUGGCUUUGGUCAGGCUAGUUCUAGGCAUCCGCCUACAAGACUUAGAGGGCAUUCAGUUGUUCACUAGGAGGAGUAGGCAUUUUACUUUGAAAAAAUUAGAGUGUUUAAGGCAGGCAAUCGCCCGCAUAUAUUAGCAUGGAAUAAUAGAAUAGGACACUUUUCCAUUUCGUUGGUUAUUGGAAUCGUGUAAUGAUUAAUAGGGACAGUUGUGGGCAUUUGUAUUUAGUUGUCAGAGGUGAAAUUCUUGGAUUUAUUAAAGACAAACUAACGCGAAAGCAUUUGCCAAGGAUGUUUUCAUUAAUCAAGAACGAAAGUUAGGGGAUCAAAGACGAUCAGAUACCGUCCUAGUCUUAACUAUAAACUAUUCCGACUCAAUGUUUGACUGGCUUAUAUAACCAGUUGAGCGUUGUAUGAGAAAUCAAAGUCUUUAGGUUCUGGGGGGAGUAUGGUUGCAAAGCUGAAACUUAAAGGAAUUGACGGAAGAGCACAACCAGGAGUGGAUUCUGCGGCUUAAUUUGACUCAACACGGGGAAACUUACCAGGUUAAAACAAUAGUGGGAUUGACAGUUUGAGAGCGCUUUCUUGAUUGGUUGGGUGGUGGUGCAUGGCCGUUCUUAGUUGGUGGAGUGAUUUGUCUGCUUAAUUGCGUUAACGAACGAGACCUUAACCUGCUUACUAGACUGGCGAUCAUCAAUCGUUAGCUCUUCUUAGAGGGACUUUGGUUGUUUUAACUCCAAGGAAGUUUGAGGCAAUAACAGGUCUGUGAUGCCCUUAGAUAUCCUGGGCCGCACGCGUCAUACAAUGACUAGUUCAGAAAGUUUUCUCCUGACCCGAAAGGGGAUGGGUGAUCUUGAUAAUACUAGUCGUGUUAGGGAUCGAUCUUUGCAAUUAUAGAUCUUGAACGAGGAAUUCCUAGUAAGUGCGGUUCAUCAGACCGUACUGAUUACGUCCCUGCUCUUUGUACACACCGCCCGUCGCUUCUACCGAGUGGGUGGUCCGGUGAGAUAAUUGAACUUCGCAGGUAACUGAGAGGAAAGAUUAUCAAACCUAUCCACCU
rnacentral:rRNA from 1 species